rnacentral:misc_RNA from 1 species
GAUGAAGAACGUAGCGAAAUGCGAUACGUAAUGUGAAUUGCAGAAUUCAGUGAAUCAUCGAAUCUUUGAACGCACCUUGCGCUCCUUGGUAUUCCGAGGAGCAUGCCUGUUUGAGUGUCAUUAAUAUAUCAACCUUCUCUUUUUUGAGUUGUUUGGAUGUGGGGGUUUGCUGGCCUCUUAAAUGAUUCAGCUCCCCUGAAAUGCAUUAGCAGAACAACCUGUUCAUUAGCGUGAUAAUUAUCUAUGCUAUUGAAUGUGAGGGCAGUUCAGCUUUCUAACCGUCCUUGGACAAUUCAUCAUUAAUGUGACCUCAAAUCAGGUAGGACUACCCGCUGAACUUAAGCAUAUCAAUAAGCGGAGGA